CGCUAGGCUGGGGGGCGGGGGAAGGGGGCGGAGACGACUAGAAGUCGCCGCGGCAACGGCGUCACCCGCGAGUCACGGUCGUGACGUCACCCCGAGUGCGUGACGUCAUUCGAGGAGCGCCCUCGCGCCGUCGUCAGGGUCGUUCGCCUGUUCCGUAACGUGGCCUUUUACUAGAAGAGCAGGAGUGGUGUUCGAGAGAGCCAGCCGAAAUCCUAGAGGGAGGAAGGCGGGGAAGCCCAUACCAUUGUACUUAUUUCCAUUACCGCCAGUGUCUCCGCAUCCGAAAAAUGAGCCUGACGCCCCAAGGCUGAAACAGCCGAGCCGACUUCCAUACAGGCCAUUCUGAACUCCCACAGUAUUUAGACGAGAAACAACAGAGAAAGCAUAAACUUUGGAGUCUAAAGAUCAAGCUCUUAGUGUCAGCCUAUAUAAUCUCAAAGCAGGAGAACAAGUUUUGAGAAUUUUCAGGGGCUCUCUGGAAAAAUCACAAGGUUAGUUUGAGGAGAUGGAAUGAAGAAAAAGACCACCCACUUCAUAGAAGAUAGAGAUGCUGGCAACAGGGAAGACCAGAUCAACAGACUUAAUAGAAGGAUGAAUUAAGAAUUUAUGAAACACGGAUUCUUGUGCUUUAGAGUAUAUAUUCAUGCAUCACCUGGAAGAGCUUUUUGGAAAUGCAGAUUUCUUGGCCACAUCCCAGGCUGCUCACUCAGAGAAGCCCCUGGUGAUGAUUCUGAUGUAGGACAUCAGACUCAGAGUGAAUCACAAUACUGGGUUUCCAAUUAGCAGACAGCAGAUCGCAGAUCGUGGGACUUCUCAACCUCCAUAUUUGUGUUAUUUACCAAGAGUCAGUUUACCUGUUUGCAGACUGGAGGAAGACAGGCAAACAAGUUAUCCUACCAUGAGAUUAUUAUUAUAAUACCUUCAGAAAACAUCCACCUAAGCAAUCUGCAAAAUAUGCUGACUGCUUGCCAUCUUAAAGUGUAAUCAUGGCAGAGAAAUAAUUAUGUCGUUGUCUUUAUUAUCAGUCCUUUGAACACUGUUCUCCUCUAGGGCUCCAGAUGGCUCUGAAAACUGCUAAUGAGUAUGAGGUCAUUUGGCCUCUUGGUUACUGAAUUUUGCCUGGAGACUGAAGCCAUUUGGGAAAAACAAACAGAUAGUAGUCCUAUAAAAAUAAACUCAACAGCUCACAAGAUUCAUUUUAUUACUGAGUAGAAGGCACUUAUGAAUUGUGAUGUUACUUUGUCUUAUCUUCCAUCUCAAAUGUUCUGCCUUAAU